AUUGAACGCUGGCGGCAGGCUUAACACAUGCAAGUCGAGCGAGCGGCGGACGGGUGAGUAAUGUCUGGGAAACUGCCUGAUGGAGGGGGAUAACUACUGGAAACGGUAGCUAAUACCGCAUACCAUCAGAUGUGCCCAGAUGGGAUUAGCUAGUAGGUGGGGUAAUGGCUCACCUAGGCGACGAUCCCUAGCUGGUCUGAGAGGAUGACCACCCACACUGGAACUGAGACACGGUCCAGACUCCUACCUUGAGCAUCAGGUCAUAAUAUUGCACAAUGGGCGCAAGCCUGAUUCAGCCAUGCCGCGUGUGUGAAGAAGGCCUUCGGGUUGUAAAGCACUUUCAGCGAGGAGGCGGGAAUCGAAGAAGAAGCACCGGCUAACUCCGUGCCAGCAGCCGCGGUAAUUA
rnacentral:rRNA from 1 species